UCAGGAUGAACGCUGGCGGCGUGCCUAACACAUGCAAGUCGAACGAGAGAGGUGGUGCUUGCACCGAUCAAUCGAGUGGCGGACGGGUGAGUAACGCGUGGGUAACCUGCCUCAUACAGGGGGAGUAACAACUGGAAACGGUUGAUAAUACCGCAUAAGCGCACGGUAUCGCAUGAUACAGUGUGAAAAAACUCCGGUGGUAUGAGAUGGACCCGCGUCUGAUUAGCUAGUUGGCGGGGUAACGGCCCACCAAGGCGACGAUCAGUAGCCGGCCUGAGAGGGUGAACGGCCACAUUGGGACUGAGACACGGCCCAAACUCCUACGGGAGGCAGCAGUGGGGAAUAUUGCACAAUGGGGGAAACCCUGAUGCAAGCGACGCCGCGUGAGCGAAGAAGUAUUUCGGUAUGUAAAGCUCUAUCAGCAGGGAAGAAAAUGACGGUACCUGACUAAGAAGCCCCGGCUAACUACGUGCCAGCAGCGGC
rnacentral:rRNA from 1 species